rnacentral:rRNA from 1 species
AUACGGAGGGUGCGAGCGUUGUUCGGAAUUAUUGGGCGUAAAGAGCAUGUAGGCGGUCUGUUAAGUCUGGUGUGAAAGCCCGGGGCUCAACCCCGGAAGUGCAUUGGAUACUGGCAGACUUGAGUAUGGGAGAGGAAAGCGGAAUUCCGAGUGUAGGAGUGAAAUCCGUAGAUAUUAGGAGGAACACCAGUGGCGAAGGCGGCUUUCUGGACCAAUACUGACGCUGAGAUGCGAAAGCGUGGGGAGCGAACAGGAUUAGAAACCCCAGUAGUCC